rnacentral:lncRNA from 1 species
AAUUUAUGCAAAGUCCUUAAAAAAAACAUAAACAAUGAGAUGUUGUAUAAAAUAAACAUUUUAAAAUAUGAAAAGUUACAGUAAGAGAUGUCAUUUUCUCAAACUCAUUCACGAGAAUUGUUGGUUUAGGUUGAACAUUUAUGUUUUUAAUUUUAUUCCACUAACAAUUACAAUUUUUGUUCAGCCAAACUUGUAUUGUUAUUAACAGUGUGGUGGUAGUUGUUAACAUGAAUUUUCAUAUGUUCAUUUCGACAAGAAAAGUGAUGCAAGUAGCAUCUUGAAAGGAAGGAUGAGGUCUAUGACGAGAUCCUACAGAUAUACGAC